UUAGUACUCCCUCCGUCCGGAAAUACUUGUCGGAGGAAUGGAUGUAUCUAGACAUAUUUUAGUUCUAGAUACAUCUAUUUUUAUCCAUUUCCGCGACAAGUAAUUCCGGACGGAGGGAGUACUUU
rnacentral:pre_miRNA from 1 species